GAGGAAGUAAAAGUCGUAACAAGGUUUCCGUAGGUGAACCUGCGGAAGGAUCAUUAUCGAGUUCUUUGAAGGUGGGCUUGAGCUGGUCUUCGGACAAGUGCUCGGCCCCGACUCAAUCCGCUCAACCCCUGUGCACUCUAGAGGUGCGGUCCUCCUGUCAAGGAGCCGCGGGCUUGCUCGCCGGGAUCGCGCCUCGACCCUUYAUACAAACUCUUAUAAAGUCAGUCGAAUGUAACCUCGCCUCGGCGAAAAACUAAUACAACUUUCAACAACGGAUCUCUUGGCUCUCGCAUCGAUGAAGAACGCAGCGAAAUGCGAUAAGUAAUGUGAAUUGCAGAAUUCAGUGAAUCAUCGAAUCUUUGAACGCACCUUGCGCUCCUUGGUAUUCCGAGGAGCAUGCCUGUUUGAGUGUCAUGAAUAUCAUCACCCUCCGGUGCUUUCGAGCGCUGGCGGCGUGGACUUGGGGGUUGCUGGCCUUGCGGUCGGCUCCUCUGGAAUGCAUUAGCGGUCGCUCUGUUGACCUCGGCGUGAUAAGUAUUUCGCCUUGGGCUGACGGAUCAAGCAGCUGCUUACAACCGCCCUCGGGCAACCUUUGACAAUCUGGCCUCAAAUCAGGUAGGACUACCCGCUGAACUUAAGCAUAU
rnacentral:rRNA from 1 species